GAUGAACGCUGACAGAAUGCUUAACACAUGCAAGUCCACUUGAACUUCGGUUUGGGUGGCGGACGGGUGAGUAACGCGUAAAGAACUUGCCUCACAGCUAGGGACAACAUUUGGAAACGAAUGCUAAUACCUGAUAUUAUGAUUAUAUGGCAUCGUAUAAUUAUGAAAGCUAUAUGCGCUGUGAGAGAGCUUUGCGUCCCAUUAGCUAGUUGGAGAGGUAACAGCUCACCAAGGCGAUGAUGGGUAGCCGGCCUGAGAGGGUGAUCGGCCACAAGGGGACUGAGACACGGCCCUUACUCCUACGGGAGGCAGCAGUGGGGAAUAUUGGACAAUGGACCGAGAGUCUGAUCCAGCAAUUCUGUGUGCACGAUGAAGUUUUUCGGAAUGUAAAGUGCUUUCAGUUGGGAAGAAAAAAAUGACGGUACCAACAGAAGAAGUGACGGCUAAAUACGUG
rnacentral:rRNA from 1 species